AGAGACAGGCAGUCAAAGAGAGACAGUCAGAGAGAAAGACAGGAGAGAGACAGGAGAGAGAGAGACAGGCAGGCGGUGAGACAGACAGGCAGAGAGACAGGCAGGCGGUCAGAGAGAGAGACAGGCGAAAGUGUAACAGGUGUGGAUGUUGGUGUGUAACAGGUGUGGAUGUUGAGGUGUUACAGGUGUGGAUGUUGAGGUGUAACAGGUGUGGAUGUUGGUGUGUAACAGGUGUGGAUGUUGAGGUGUAACAGGUGUGGAUGUUGAGGUGUAACAGGUGUGGAUGUUGAGGUGUUACAGGUGUGGAUGUUGGUGUGUAACAGGUGUGGAUGUUGGUGUGUAACAGGUGUGGAUGUUGAGGUGUAACAGGUGUGGAUGUUGGUGUGUAACAGGUGUGGAUGUUGGUGUGUAACAGGUGUGGAUGUACUGGUGUAACAGGUGUGGAUGUACUGGUGUAACAGGUGUGGAUGUUGGUGUGUACAGGUGUGGAUGUUGGUGUGUAACAGGUGUGGAUGUUGAGGUGUAACAGGUGUGGAUGUUGGGGUGUAACAGGUGUGGAUGUUGGGGUGUAACAGGUGUGGAUGUUGGUGUGUAACAGGUGUGGAUGUUGGUGUGUAACAGGUGUGGAUGUACUGGUGUAACAGGUGUGGAUGUUGAGGUGUUACAGGUGUGGAUGUUGGGGUGUAACAGGUGUGGAUGUUGGGGUGUAACAGGUGUGGAUGUUGGGGUGUAACAGGUGUGGAUGUUGUGGUGUAACAGGUGUGGAUGUUGGUGUGUAACAGGUGUGGAUGUUGGUGUGUAACAGGUGUGGAUGUUGGGGUGCAACAGGUGUGGAUGUACUGG